UACGGAGGAUCCAAGCGUUAUCCGGAUUCAUUGGGUUUAAAGGGUGCGUAGGCGGAAUGAUAAGUCAGUGGUGAAAUCCUGCAGCUUAACUGCAGAACUGCCAUUGAUACUGUCAAUCUUGAGUAUAUUUGAUGUGGGCGGAAUGUGUCAUGUAGCGGUGAAAUGCUUAGAUAUGACAUAGAACACCAAUUGCGAAGGCAGCUUACUACGGAUCGAUUGACACUGAGGCACGAAAGCGUGGGGAUCAAACAGG
rnacentral:rRNA from 1 species